AUGAGACUCCUAUAUCUAGAUUAAAAAAAUAAACUAUCAAUUCAAUUUGCAAAAAAAAGAAAGAGGGAAGAUCCAUCAAAAGAGGAUGGUGGCCAUCAUUUAGUCUAUUUUUAAGUCUAGAUUCAUCUACUCUUCAAAGACUUGAGAUCAUGAAAGAUCAACGGCCAUUAUUUCAAGAUGAAAUCCUCUCCAAGGACUGCAAUCAUAAAAGAUUGACAGUCACGAUGGAGGAAGAUUUUAGAUGAAAUUCCCUCCUAUAAAUAGUGGAGGGAGGCAGCUAGAAGAAAAGGGGGAAAAGGGGGGAGAAAAAGAAGAAAAGGAAGGGAGGCAUUGAGACAGGGGAGAAAGGAAAGAAACAAGAGGAGAGAACGAUUUAAAAAAAGGUGGGGAAGACACAAAGGAAAAGAACACAGGGGGGAAACGUAAAAGAGGAAAUAGGCCUGCUUUACAGAGGAAGGAGGAGGUAAGACAGGAGGCAAGACAACAGACUAGUCGAUAGAAAGGAGGGGAGAUAGAGCAAAGGAAGACUCAAAGUGAGAAGAGAGAGCAAGUUUGAGAGGUGGGUACUGCAAGAAUCAAAGUGCAAUCUGACUUUUAUUCGACAAGGCUUGCUUUACAGGAGAAAACGCUUGCGCGUACCUCGACUAAUCCCACGACUCCUGAAGUUAACGACCAUGUAAGUCUCCAGUGGCCAUCAUAUAAGCAACCACAGGGCUCGAACCUGAGAUCACAGAGAAAGUAAACCUUUUAAUCCCAAGUUCUUGCCAUUAGAUCACCACCUAAAUGGUUAUGUGAUGUAAUUUUUUGAUUUCUACUCUUGUGGUACAUCAUUAUAUGAAUUUGAUUUCACCAUUGUUCCUUUUCUUACAUAUGUAUAUGUCCAGGUAAGGAUUAUGAACUCUUGUUCUAACGAUUGUAUCAAAUUAGAAAUCAUCAAUGUAUUAGUUUCAAGAAAAGAAAA